rnacentral:rRNA from 1 species
GACGAACGCUGGCGGCGUGCUUAACACAUGCAAGUCGAACGGAAAGGCCCUGCUUUUGUGGGGUGCUCGAGUGGCGAACGGGUGAGUAACACGUGAGUAACCUCCCCUUGACUUUGGGAUAACUCCAGGAAACUGGGGCUAAUACCGGAUAGGAGCUCCUGCUGCAUGGUGGGGGUUGGAAAGUUUCGGCGGUUGGGGAUGGACUCGCGGCUUAUCAGCUUGUUGGUGGGGUAGUGGCUUACCAAGGCUUUGACGGGUAGCCGGCCUGAGAGGGUGACCGGCCACAAUGGGACUGAGAUACGGCCCAGACUCCUACGGGAGGCAGCAGUGGGGAAUAUUGCACAAUGGGCGGAAGCCUGAUGCAGCAACGCCGCAUGCGGGAUGACGGCCUUCGGGUUGUAAACCGCUUUCGCCUGUGACGAAGCGUGAGUGACGGUAAUGGGUAAAGAAGCACCGGCUAACUACGUG